GAUGAAGAACGUAGCGAAAUGCGAUAAGUAAUGUGAAUUGCAGAAUUCAGUGAAUCAUCGAAUCUUUGAACGCACAUUGCGCCCCCUGGUAUUCCGGGGGGCAUGCCUGUCCGAGCGUCAUUACAACCCUCAAGCUCAGCUUGGUGUUGGGCCCCGCCGCCCCGGCGGGCCCUAAAGUCAGUGGCGGUGCCGUCCGGCUCCGAGCGUAGUAAUUCUUCUCGCUCUGGAGGUCCGGUCGUGUGCUUGCCAGCAACCCCCAAUUUUUUUCAGGUUGACCUCGGAUCAGGUAGGGAUACCCGCUGAACUUAAGCAUAUCAAUAAGUGGAGGA
rnacentral:misc_RNA from 1 species